rnacentral:rRNA from 1 species
AACCAACGCUGGCGGCGUGCCUCAGACAUGCAAGUCGAACGAUUAAAGCUCUCUUCGGAGAGUGCAUAAAGUGGCGCACGGGUGAGUAACACGUAAGUAAUCUGCCCUCGAGUGGGGAAUAACGUCCGGAAACGGACGCUAAUACCGCAUAACGCAGCGGCACCGCAAGGUGACAGUUGUUAAAGGAGCAAUCCGCUUGAGGAGGAGCUUGCGGCAGAUUAGCUUGUUGGUAGGGUAACGGCCUACCAAGGCUACGAUCUGUAACCGGUCUAAGAGGACGGUCGGUCACACUGACACUGAAUAACGGGUCAGACUCCUACGGGAGGCAGCAGUCGGGAAUUUUGGGCAAUGGGGGAAACCCUGACCCAGCAACGCCGCGUGAAGGAUGGAGUAUUUCGGUAUGUAAACUUCGAAAGAAUGGGAAGAAUUAAUGACGGUACUAUUUAUAAGGUCCGGCUAACUACGUGCCAGCCGCCGCUGUAAAAC